rnacentral:lncRNA from 1 species
CCAUGGAUUGCAUGGUUCAACUCAGCCUGCCAAAUGCAUCAGCCACAGGCACUUACUACUGCAGAGUCAAAGGACAUGUGACAAGUCAGAGCGACGGCAUCUUCAUUCUGGUCAGAGACACAGGGUACCAGCCACCUUCAUUCAAGGUCCAGGAGGCUCUGCUGCUUAGCUUUACCGGCCUGCUCAGUGUCCUGGGUGUGCUGGGCACGGCGCUGCUGUUCUGGAAGAAGAUCUAUGAAGACAUUUCCUCUCAACUCACAGCCCCAUAGAGGGAAGCUCAGAGAUGCUACGAUCUGCCCAUGGCCAUAUAGAAAGCACACGACAGAGUAUAAGAGUUGGGGGGCCUUAUGAAGGGGACAGUUUGCUCCAGCUCUUUGCCUGGCUGUUUUCUGUUCAUGGUGGCUGCCUGGGAGAGCUGACUCCCCACUGGGGUACCCCUCAUUCUCACCCUCUCUCAGUGGUCUCUCGGCUCAUACUUCUUCCCUGUGGCAGCCACAGCCUGUGCUCUCGGAUUCUGUACAUAGUUGGUACUCAGUAAAUCUGCUGAAGGAAGUGUAAUUUGCAGGGUCCUUUCAUGGGUUUUAGUAAACACAUGGAUUAACUUCUUAAGUGGACCUUAGCUGAUACCUACUAUGCACCAGGCAUUAUAUUAAAGGUUAGGAGGAACCCAAGGGAAACAGGAAGACUAAAAUCUCAAGAUAGCCUGCUUGGAGGUAAGUGGGGGCCGGGGAAGGGGCUUGAGAGCGCAAUCUCGGGGU